rnacentral:rRNA from 1 species
ACGGAAGGCAGCAGUGGGGAAUAUUGGACAAUGGGGGGAACCCUGAUCCAGCCAUGCCGCGUGUGUGAAGAAGGCCUUUUGGUUGUAAAGCACUUUAAGCGAGGAGGAGGCUACCUAGAUUAAUACUUUAGGAUAGUGGACGUUACUCGCAGAAUAAGCACCGGCUAACUCUGUGCCAGCAGCCGCGGUAAUACAGAGGGUGCGAGCGUUAAUCGGAUUUACUGGGCGUAAAGCGUGCGUAGGCGGCCAAUUAAGUCAAAUGUGAAAUCCCCGAGCUUAACUUGGGAAUUGCAUUCGAUACUGGUUGGCUAGAGUAUGGGAGAGGAUGGUAGAAUUCCAGGUGUAGCGGUGAAAUGCGUAGAGAUCUGGAGGAAUACCGAUGGCGAAGGCAGCCAUCUGGCCUAAUACUGACGCUGAGGUACGAAAGCAUGGGGAGCAAACAGGAUUAGAUACCCUGGUA